AUUGAAGGCUGGCGGCAGGCCUAACACAUGCAAGCGGAGCGGAUGAAGGGAGCUUGCUCCUGGAUUCAGCGGCGGACGGGUGAGUAAUGCCUAGGAUUCUGCCUGGGAGUGCGGGAUAACUUCUGGUAACGGACGCUAAUACCGCACACGUCCUGAGGGAGAAAGGGAGGGGUCUUCGGACCACACGCUAUCAGAUGAGCCUAGGUCGGAUUAGCUAGUUGGUGGGGUAAAGGCCUACCAAGGCGACGAUCCGUAACUGGUCUGAGAGGAUGAUCAGUCACACUGGAACUGAGACACGGUCCAGACUCCUACGGUAGGCAGCAGUGGGGAAUAUUGGACAAUGGGCGAAAGCCUGAUCCAGCCAUGCCGCGUGUGUGAAGAAGGUCUUCGGAUUGUAAAGCACUUUAAGUUGGGAGGAAGGGCAGUAAGUUAAUACCUUGCUGUUUUGACGUUACCAACAGAAUAAGCACCGGCUAACUUCGUG
rnacentral:rRNA from 1 species